rnacentral:rRNA from 1 species
GAUGAACGCUGGCGGCGUGCUUAACACAUGCCAGUCGAGCGAGAAGUUUUGAAAAGAUUCUUCGGAUGAAAUUUAAAAUGGAAAGCGGCGGACGGGUGGGUAACGCGUAGGCAACCUGCCCCAUACAAAGGGAUAGCAUUUGGAAACGAAUAUUAAUACCUUAUGAAACUUAACUAGUGCAUGCUAGGUAGGUCAAAGAUUUAUCGGUAUGGGAUGGGCCUGCGUCUGAUUAGCUAGUUGGUGAGGUAACGGCUCACCAAGGCGACGAUCAGUAGCCGACCUGAGAGGGUGAACGGCCACAUUGGAACUGAGACACGGUCCAAACUCCUACGGGAGGCAGCAGUGGGGAAUAUUGCACAAUGGGGGAAACCCUGAUGCAGCAACGCCGCGUGAACGAUGAAGGCCUUUGGGUCGUAAAGUUCUGUUCUAGGUGAUGAAAACUGACAGUAACCUAGGAGAAAGCCCCGGCUAACUCCGUG